CGUGUAAGCGGGCAGACAAGUCGGACGUGAAAUUUUUCCGCUUAACGGAGAAACCGCGUUUGAAACUAUCUGUCUUGAGUACGGGAGAGGAAAGUGGAAUUCCUGGUGUAGCGGUGAAAUGCGUAGAUAUCAGGAGGAACACCUGUGGCGAAGGCGGCUUUCUAGCCCGAUACUGACGCUGUGGCGCGAAGGCUAGGGGAGCAAACAGAAUUAGAUACUCUGGUAGUCCUAGCGGUAAACGUUGGGCACUAGGUGUUGGUUCCUUAAAGGAUCAGUGCCGAAGCUAACGCAUUAAGUGCCCCGCCUGGGGAGUACGGCCGCAAGGUUGAA
rnacentral:rRNA from 1 species